GAACCUGGGGAGUCCAAUCACCUAAUUAUAGCAGAGCAUCAGGAAGGCCUGAGCACGUAUGAACUUAAUACAAUUUCUACCCAAUGAUCUGAACAUCAAAAGGAAGAAGUUCCCUGAAGCUCAAGGAAAUUGCUGAAGCAGCUAUGACUCUUGAUGAAGCCAAUCUUUGUCACUUAACUAGUGGUCAUGAGAGUGGACAAGACUGUCCC
rnacentral:ncRNA from 1 species